rnacentral:tRNA from 1 species
CCCUGAUAGUUCAAUUGGUAAAGAAUCUGCCUUCAAUGCUGAAGACCCUGGUUCAAUUCCUGGGUCGGGAA